rnacentral:rRNA from 1 species
AAGUCGUAACAAGGUAUCCGUAGCGGAAGCUGCGGAUGGAUCACCUCCUUUCUAGGGAGA